rnacentral:rRNA from 1 species
GACGAACGCUGGCGGCGUGCUUAACACAUGCAAGUCGAACGGAAAGGCCCUGCUUUUGUGGGGUGCUCGAGUGGCGAACGGGUGAGUAACACGUGAGUAACCUGCCCUUGACUUUGGGAUAACUUCAGGAAACUGGGGCUAAUACCGGAUAGGAGCUCCUGCUGCAUGGUGGGGGUUGGAAAGUUUCGGCGGUUGGGGAUGGACUCGCGGCUUAUCAGCUUGUUGGUGGGGUAGUGGCUUACCAAGGCUUUGACGGGUAGCCGGCCUGAGAGGGUGACCGGCCACAUUGGGACUGAGGUACGGCCCAGUCUCCUACGGGCGGCAGCGGUGGGGAAUAUUGCACAAUGGGCGGAAGCCUGAUGCAGCAACGCCGCGUGCGGGAUGACGGCCUUCGGGUUGUAAACCGCUUUCGCCUGUGACGAAGCGUGAGUGACGGUAAUGGGUAAAGAAGCACCGGCUAACUACGUG